CUAGCGUUGCUCGGAUUGACUGGGCGUAAAGGGCGCGUAGGCGGUUCGUACAGUCAGCCGUGAAAUUCCUGGGCUCAACCUGGGGGCUGCGCUUAAUACAGCCAGACUAGAGUGUGAAAGAGGGUCGUGGAAUUCCCAGUGUAGAGGUGAAAUUCGUAGAUAUUGGGAAGAACACCGGUGGCGAAGGCGGCGACCUGGUUCAUUACUGACGCUGAGGCGCGAAAGCGUGGGGAGCAAACAGG
rnacentral:rRNA from 1 species